UUUCAAAUGGAUUUACACCCACAGGAUUCUUUAUUGGAUAUUAUAAAGCCUAAAGAGGAGGAAGCUGCUAAAGGGGAAGACUCUGAUGAGGAGAAUCAAAUGUCUGUAUGUUUGAGUGACAGAAGUUUACUUCAGGGUAAAAAAGAAGAGAAUUUGUAAAUCAAUAGUGAUUUAUUCCCCGUCAUCCACCAGAGGGAGCAAGAAAUCUAGAGCUGCAGGGAAAAGGAAGAAGAAAUCAUGUCAGGUUGCUAAAAUGGGGCAUGUACCGGUCAUUAAAGUCAGUGAGCAAGCUGGCACCUUGCAUACUGCUCCCACGGAGGGAAUGAACAAUUCGACUGGUGAUUCCUGCUCUGGGGUUUCUCCUGAAGUUAAGCUGGGAGAGGCUGUGGGGGUUUUAUUUCAGGCUAUU